UGACCUCAGAUCAGGCAAGAAUACCCGCUGAACUUAAGCAUAUCAAUAAGCGGAGGAAAAGAAACCAACAGGGAUUCCCUCAGUAACGGCGAGCGAAGAGGGAAGAGCUCAAGCCGAAAAUCUCCGGCGGCAACGUCGGCGAAUUGUNGUUUGGAGAAGUGUCUUCAACGCGUCUCUUACGGUCCAAGUNGCUUGGAACGGCACGUCACGGAGGGUNAGAAUCCCGUGUGCGAUCGGAGCGGGCGCGCCACGAAGCACUUUCGAAGAGUCGGGUNNUUUGGGAUUGCAGCCCAAAGCGGGNNNUAAACUCCA
rnacentral:rRNA from 1 species